CCUACGGGGAGCAGCAGUGAGGAAUAUUGGACAAUGGACGGAAGUCUGAACCAGCCAUGCCGCGUGCAGGAAGACGGCUCUCUGAGUUGUAAACUGCUUUUGUACAAGGGUAAACCUGAAUACGUGUACUCAGCUGCAAGUACUGUACGAGUAAGGAUCGGCUAACUCCGUUCCAGCAGCCGCGGUAAUACGGAGGAUCCAAGCGUUAUCCGGAUUUAUUGGGUUUAAAGGGUGCGUAGGCGGAUUGAUAAGUUAGAGGUGAAAUGUCCGGGCUUAACUCGGGAACUGCCUCUAAUACUGUCGAGCUAGAGAGUAGAUGCGGGAGGCAGAAUGUAUGGUGUAGCGGUGAAAUGCGUAGAGAUCAUACAGAACACCGAUUGCGAAGGCAGCUUACCAAUCUAUAUCUGACGUUGAGGCACGAAAGCGUGGGGAGCAAACAGGAUUAGAUACCCUGGUAGUC
rnacentral:rRNA from 1 species